rnacentral:lncRNA from 1 species
GGAUUCGGAGUAGACCGCUCAUUGUAAGAGUUCGGGGUAGACCGUUCAUAGUAGAAGUUCGGCUCUCACAGGAGUCCGAUCAGAAUCUUGAAGGUGGUCGACCGUCGUAGAAACUUGGAUGGAGUCUGAUUACCAUAGAAAUCUCGUUGUCAAAGAAGCUCGGAUAUUGGUGGAGUCUGGAAGAAGUUCGGAGAAUAGUUGAUCACUGUAUAAGGUCGGCUGGUGGUGAGGCCCAGAGAGCUUUUGGGGUGGCCCAGUAGAUGAAUGCAGAAGU